rnacentral:rRNA from 1 species
GACGGGGGGGGCAAGUGUUCUUCGGAAUUACUGGGCGUAAAGCGUGCGCAGGCGGCUUUGCAAGACAGAUGUGAAAUCCCCGGGCUUAACCUGGGAACUGCAUUUGUGACUGCAUGGCUGGAGUGCGGCAGAGGGGGAUGGAAUUCCGCGUGUAGCAGUGAAAUGCGUAGAUAUGCGGAGGAACACCGAUGGCGAAGGCAAUCCCCUGGGCCUGCACUGACGCUCAUGCACGAAAGCGUGGGGAGCAAACAGG